rnacentral:rRNA from 1 species
GAUGAACGCUGGCGGCGUGCUUAACACAUGCAAGUCGAACGGACAGGCCCUGCUCUUGUGGGGUGCACGUGUGGCGAGCGGGUGAGUAAAACGUGAGUAACCUGCACCUGAAUUUGGGAUAACUUCAGGAGACUGGGGCUCAUACAGGGUAUGAGCUCCUGAUGCAUGGUGGUGGUUGGUAAGUUUCGGCGGUUCGGGCUGGUCUCGAGGGUUAUCCGCUUGUUGGUGAGGUAGUGGCUUACCAAGGCUUUGAAGGAUAGCCGGCCUUGGAGGUUGACCAGGGUCAAUGCGACUGAGAGACGGAGCAGUCGGCUACGGGAGGCAGCAGUGGAGAACAUGACAGAAUGGGCGGACGCCUGAUACGGCAACGCCGCGUGCGUGAUGCCGUCCUUCGGGUUGUAAACCGCUGUGUCAGUGGACAUGGAGGUAUUGACGGUAAUUGGUAAAAAAGCAACGGCUAACUACGUG